rnacentral:lncRNA from 1 species
CUUAUAUUUUGGAUGUAAGGAAAGUUGCUAGCACUUUACUCUUCAUGAAAUCUGAUGGGGAAAAAACCAACCAACAAUUACUACAUCAAGAUAGUUUCCUAGUGGCCACGUUGCAUUUUGAGAUAUAUACUUUGAUGAUUGGAAUUUACCCUCUUGGAUAGCCAAGGCAUUUCUUUCUUCAUCAUUCAUGGUAACCAACCGAAUACCAGGUUCAAAGAAUUCAAACAAGCUGCAUUGCUGACCUUUUUGUCUCUGGUAGAAGAACACGAAUGUUGGCUUUGUUUUAUUUUGAAAUCCCUGUUGGCAGAUAUAGACAGAGCCACAGCAUCGGCAUUACAAAUCCUACUAUCGCAUUUGUUAGGAGAUGCUGGCAGUCCUAAUGUUGUGGGUUUGGCAUUUCUUUCUUCAUCAUUCAUGGUAACCGACUGAAUACAAGGCUUAAACAAUUCAAACAAGCUGCAUUGCUGACCUUUUUGUCCCUGGGAGAAGAACACAAAGUUGGCUUUGUUUUCUUUUGAAAUCCCUGUUGGCAGCGGUCUCUCGGGAUGUUGUUGGUUCAAAAGUAUCUUCUGCAUUUAGUGGUGACAAUUAUUUUAUAAUAGAGAAAACACAGGGGGCAAAUUGAAAAGAGUCAGGGUGAUAUCGUUACAGACAAGGAUGUUAUCAUUUGUCGUUCAUGGUUGAAUGAUGUGAAACAUAUGUUACGCUGAUACAGACAGAGCCACAGCAUCGGCAUUGCAAAUCUUGCUAUCACAUUUGUUAGGAGAUGCUGGCAGUCCUUAUAUUGUGGGUUUGACUCAGCACAGAAAUCGUGUGACUCAAUCAAUUGCUGCAGUUGCGUGUGUCAAGGAAGGGCUGAGAUUCUGGUAUGAAGACCAACUGGAAAUACUUCGUGGAUUUUGAGAUUACAAAAUCGGCUAAACUCGAUGAAACACAAACUUCACGACCAGCUGUUGGAGAGACAGAGAUGUAAGAAAGUUUAAUUCCAAAAAAAUUCUUUGACAAUGCAGAACAAAAGGUGCUGCUCACAUAACAGGGCGGAUCUUCACCCUCGUCAAUUUUAUUACAAGAUUCCGGUCAAAAGUUGAAUCUUGGUUCGUCGUUUGUUCAACGAACUCGAUAUUCGAGUCGUAGUCUGAGAGAUGGACCAAGCACUUUUAUACUUCUUGAUGUCGUACCAGAUUCCAAAGACAGUGUUUUAUACAAGGAAGAAACUGAAGGCAAGCGAAAUUACCCUUUCAAUAUGGUGAAAUUCAAAAUGGCGGUGCAACAGAGAUGAUGCCAUGUGGAUCUCGUAGUUUUCACCUUUGUGAGCAAGCUGGUCGUGCUGUGUGUUCAAACAUGAAGAUGAAGCCGAUUUCGAGGGAAUCUUUCAACGUGCUAGCCAGUAAAGAUUUGUGUUGGAUAUGUUCCUGUUUCUUCAGAAGCCAAGGCUUCCUAGUGGCCACGUUGCAUUUUGAGGUAUAUACUUUGAUGAUUGGAAUUUACCCUCUUCGAUAGCCAAGGUGAGAAAGAUCAUUGUUAAGUUUUAUCUGACUCCAGGAUGUAUUUGAUAUGUUAUGCUGAUAUAGACACAGCCACAGCAUCGGCAUGGCAAAUCCUACUAUCACAUUUGUUAGGAGAUGCUGGCAGUCCUAAUAUUGUGGGUUUGGCAUUUCUUUCUUCAUCAUUCAUGGUAACCGACUGAAUACAAAUUUAAACAAUUCAAACAAACUGCAUUGCUGACUUUUUUGUCCCUGGAAG